rnacentral:rRNA from 1 species
GCUCGAGUGGCAAACGGGUGAGUAACACGUGGGUGAUCUGCCCUGCACUUCGGGAUAAGCUUGGGAAACUGGGUCUAAUACCGGAUAGGAGCCAUCUUUAGUGUGGUGGUUGGAAAGUUUUUCGGUGUAGGAUGAGCUCGCGGCCUAUCAGCUUGUUGGUGGGGUAAUGGCCUACCAAGGCGGCGACGGGUAGCCGGCCUGAGAGGGUGUACGGCCACAUUGGGACUGAGAUACGGCCCAG